CUUGUGGAGCUAAGGAGGCACACCUACUUGAAAUAGGCGCCCUGCCCUCGAGCGCGAGGACUGGUUGAACCAAGGAGGCUCGCUGUGAAGUGAAUCUGGACGGAAACACUACAAGAAAUGUGUUGAUUUAUAACGAAAAUUUUAUGAUACAUUUGUUCUCAUCAUAGAUCUAUGACGUUUCUGGCUGAAAAUGUCAUAAAGUUUCACAUCCGAGCAAAUUUAGUGACAAAGUUAUGGAACAUCAUAAAAGUUGCCACUGUAGCCAAAAAGAAAUCGUCACUUGCUGUUACAUGGUGAUUUUAUGAUGAUAUAAGCUCCACAAAAAUGUCACAAACCAAUCAGGGUCCCACAUGUAAGUUUAAGCUGAUAAAUAGGGUGGUAAAAUAAAAUGAAAAAUGUGCUCCUCCCAUGGGUCGAACCUAU
rnacentral:lncRNA from 1 species